GAGUGAUGAAGGUUUUCGGAUCGUAAAACUCUGUUAUUAGGGAAGAACAAAUGCGUAAGUAACUGUGCGCAUCUUGACGGUACCUAAUCAGAAAGCCACGGCUAACUACGUGCCAGCAGCCGCGGUAAUACGUAGGUGGCAAGCGUUAUCCGGAAUUAUUGGGCGUAAAGCGCGCGUAGGCGGUUUCUUAAGUCUGAUGUGAAAGCCCACGGCUCAACCGUGGAGGGUCAUUGGAAACUGGGAAACUUGAGUGCAGAAGAGGAAAGUGGAAUUCCAUGUGUAGCGGUGAAAUGCGCAGAGAUAUGGAGGAACACCAGUGGCGAAGGCGACUUUCUGGUCUGUAACUGACGCUGAUGUGCGAAAG
rnacentral:rRNA from 1 species